AACAUCAAUCUCUAGAAGAACCAAACCUCAGCACCAACCUGUUCAUCAUGAUGAUCAGAAUCCUCUGCCUGAGCGUCCUCGUGCUGCUUUUCUGCACAGACAUUGAAGCUAAAAAAGAAAAGACCGAAAAGUUCAAAAAGUUCAAGUGUUUCACUUGUACAGAGAAAUACUGCAAAAAACAACAGUAUUGUAGUGAAGGACAGGUCUGCAUGAGCGCCUCUGUUAUCGAAGUCACACAUGGACAUCAGAAUAAAUCCUACUACAGGUCCUGUACGUCACCUUCAUACUGUCCAAAGAGUGAAAAAACAGAGACCAUGUCCAUCGGCUUGGGUUAUCAGGUGUUUGUGGCGACCGUUAAGUGCUGCAAGUCCCAUCUCUGCAACAAAAAACCUCAACCCCACCCUAAGAUACCAUCAGGAAAUGGGUUGACGUGCCUUUUCUGCAGCAACACUAUAAACCCAAAGGAAUGCAAAGUCAAGGAAUGCAUUGGAAAUCAAACUCACUGCGUGCGAGCAAUCAGAAAUGGAACUCAUCAGAGUGGGUGUGCAACUAAAAACUUCUGUCACCCCAACAAGCCUGUUAAAGGCUUCGCUGGUGCCCUCAGUUUUCCAGCUGUGUGUGAGAAAGCAAAACCUGCACCUGAACCAACAACUGCUGAACCAACAAUUGCUGAACCAAAGUGUGUUCCAGUUGAAACCACUCCUGAACCAACCCUUCCACCCUGUGAUAGAAAGGGAUAACUACUCCCACCACGUAAAACCAGUUUCUUUGUCUUGCUGACAAAACCAUUAAAAGGUUGAUUAAAGUCUGGGUGAAUCUUUAGUGGAUCCUACAUCAAACAUAGAGAUCUUAACAAACUUAUCAGACCACCACCCACUGUGAGCUUAAAUCACAGCAUUGGUAAAUAUCUUUGUUUCUGUCAUUUGGCUAAUCUCCUAAACAAAAAAAAUAGUCGGUGGUUGAAUACAUUUGUUAACCAACUCAUGUGAUGUUUUGCUUUUAGUGAUGUUAUUAGAUGAUGAAUUAAUGAAGAUCAAAGCUUCUUUCAAAGGAGCUUUGAUGACUUCUAACUUCUAAAUGUGACUCUUUUAGUAAAGGUAGCAGGGCUGAGUUUCUAAUGCUUUCUUAAAAUGCUUUCUGCAUGGGAAC
rnacentral:lncRNA from 1 species